AUACGUAGGGUGCAAGCGUUAAUCGGAAUUACUGGGCGUAAAGCGUGCGCAGGCGGUUUUGUAAGACAGUGGUGAAAUCCCCGGGCUCAACCUGGGAACUGCCAUUGUGACUGCAAGGCUGGAGUGCGGCAGAGGGGGAUGGAAUUCCGCGUGUAGCAGUGAAAUGCGUAGAUAUGCGGAGGAACACCGAUGGCGAAGGCAAUCCCCUGGGCAUGCACUGACUCUCAUGCACGAAAGCGUGGGGAGCAAACAGGAUUAGAUACCCUGGUAGUCCACGCCCUAAACGAUGUCAACUGGUUGUUGGGGAUUUAUUUUCUCAGUAACGAAGCUAACGCGUGAAGUUGACCGCCUGGGGAGUACGGCCGCAAGGUUAAAACUCAAAUGAAUUGACGGGG
rnacentral:rRNA from 1 species